rnacentral:lncRNA from 1 species
UCUGGAUAACCACUCAAUUUCAUUUGGGAAACACCUACUAAAGAAGCUUGUAUAAAAACCGUGCCUGCAUUUUGGGCAGAACUGGUUUCCUAGAAAACAAGGAAUUCAGGUGUCAAGCAUUUCCAAUGAGUUGUUACAAAAUGAGAGAGAUACAGUGUAAAUUUGCACUAUUUAUGCCACAAGAGAAACAGAAAUGAAAGAGGUCAGAAUUGGGGAGUUGUGCUAUACUAUUUCAUGGUUAAGAAACAGCUACACACCUUGAGAUUUUAAUGAUCUGCAGUCCAAGUGUGAGGAGCCCUCAAUGGUUGUUCAAAUCAGAUUAAAGUGUAAAUACAUUUUGACAAAGACCAUUAGUAUAAGUCUUGAAGUUCUGAUUUGAGGAAGCAGAGUAAUGACUAGUACAUUCUCUAGAGACUUGUAGACUUUGUGAAUUUAUUUAGAAGAAUGCAUAAACAGAACCACUCUUUCUUUGAAUGAUAAUUACUGUCAUCACUCUUGCUGGCUGAUUGUCCAGUCAGUUUUGAAUAGCCUUGCACAAGGUUCAGGGUUCAGAUGAAUCAACUCUGGGAAUUCAAAGUGGUCAUAUCUUUGCAACUGAGAAAUUUUUCUUAUGAGAUCAUAUAGUAGACAAAUAAUUGCAUAAAUUAUCUGUCAAGGAAUUUUUUUCAAAUACAUAA